UAAUUUGGGGGAGGGGAGUAAUAAGCAGAAAUGGCUAGACUAGGUAUCUACAAAAUCUUUUGCUUACCAAAAAACAUUUUGGGUAGAACACAUUUCCAAAUCACUGCUCUUUAAAUAUAAUUAGUAAUUAUUUGCUUAGGAGAACAUUCGAGAAGGAUGAAAAGCAUGUACCUAAUUCCUUGGUGAGUGGUGCAGGAAGUAGAGGCUAUUGUGUGGUCCCUCUGAUGCAUGAAGUCUUGCAGCCCAAUAGCUACUAGCUCUCAAGGUAUCACAGGUGACAAGGAAGGUUGCAGCCUUGAAACGAGAACACAAAGGAAGAAACACAUGCCAGCUCCCAGGGAACCCUCUGUACCCCAGGCCCCAGCCUGGCGUGUGCAAGGUGAUCACACAUGUCUGUGGAACUGUAUGGGACAGAACCUGAACCAAGAGCAGCCUUACGUGGAAGUGGGACAGGCUUAGAGUUAAACUGGUGUAAGUGAAAACAGAGAGCAGCUGCUAUCGGCGCUGUAUCUAGUGAACGAAGGGUGUUCUGAGAACAGGCCUGGCUGGGCAGAGGCGAGGGUGUCAGGGCCUCCAAGAGGAGGGCAGAUGGUGACACUUCAGGGCAGCGAACAGAAAUGCCCACGGCAAAACCCUGUGACUCUUUCAUCUGAACGGAUGUGUUAAUGGCUCCCAUGGAGCGGGCAUAAGAGGGCUUAGCGCAUAUGCCUCCAUCUACUGUACUGGCUGUAAAUAAACCAUGUGCUUGUCUGCGCCAUCUGCUUAGUGUGCACUUUGUGGAACUGUGGGAAGAGAAAAAAGUGUUUGGGGCCAAAUGGCUAGAGAUACUUUAGUUGUAUAUUUAGGAACCAAAUAUGCUGACACCGCUAAAUUAUUACAUUUCCUUUAAAGUGGGUAAUUAAAUUUAAAUGCUCCUUUUUUUAUAAGCGAGGGAGCAGCGCUGGACAGUAGGAGGCCACACAGCUUCCAAAAGGUCAAAGAGCUGGUCACAGGCACAGAAUGAGGCUGGAGACAAGUCCCCUACCACUGGAGUUAAUCAAUCUUGAGUUAGUCACACUCAACCAGUCUCAACUGCAAAUUCUUCAUCUAUAAGUGAGGAACCUGUCACUCAUCCUCCCCGGGGCAGUAUUUUGAGAAUUAACUCAUGCUGAAAAUAUGAAGUUCUUUAGAUAGAAGAUAUUAUGAACAUACAAAAUGUCUUUAUGGAGAGGGUCACGCCCUCUAUAAAGUACCGAGUAUACAUUAUACAUGAUCAUUGCCCUCGUAUACACAUUGAGAUUGCCCAUUGCUCAUUUUUUUAAUUCCUCAAAAUUAUAUAAAUGAUGCCACUAAUUCAUUCAUUAAACAACUAUUUACUGAACAUUUAAAAUGUUCCAGACCCUGGAAUAAUGCUAAUCAGAAGUAAGACACCUACAAGUACCAUUAAGUUCUAAAAUCACAGACUUAGUGUGUUGCAAGUCAUUUCUAAAAUACGCAGUUGGAUUUCUGUUUUCAAAAUUAAACACUUGGUAUUUUCCCCACUUCUAGAUUUGUGGUUAUCUAAAAGUGAUUUCAAAGAAUUCAAAGCACGCCCUCAACCAACCUACAUGACCUUUUCCUAAGACCUAACAGUGCAGCAAUUUUAGCUAGAUAAUAUACAAAUGCCCAGAGAAUCCAACAACUUAAGAGGAACCAUAAAACAGCAUGAGCAAAUUGUUCCAGUUUAUGAAAUGCAACCAUGAGAGAAUAAUCAUACUGGGUUAGCCUCAUUUAUGAACUAUAUCUCAUCUUGAUGCAAUCCCCAGAGAUAAUGUAGGUCAAAUUGAUCAAAUGAAUUCCCAGGGUUGCUUGAAUACUUUUUAUGGCGCUGAACUUUGACUAUCAGAAUUUGCUUGGAAGAAAGAAGAGGUAAUGAGUGUAGGGGUGGUUAGGGUUAGCGCUCUUCACUCAGACAAACCCCCACACCAUAAUAUCAGCUACCUUACCUCUCUACGCCUUGGUUUUGUCAUGUACAAAAUGGAGAUAAUAAUAAUACCGAUCUCACACGUUCUCCAAGAAGCGUCAGUGAAACAGUAAAAGUCCCAGUACAUGGCAAGGACUCAGUGAAUGUUAGCUAUGACAGAGAACUUCACUGCGUGGGAAGAGAAUUUGCAAGGGGGCCAGAGCGUCAUCAAAGAGGUGUUAGUGAAACUGGAAAGUGGGUUGAGGAUGAGAAGGGGGACCUUGCAACUGCUAAGUUCCCACGGCAACUCUGCCACCCUUGCUAGGCAGAAGGCACAGAGGUGACAAUAAACUUGACGGAGAUGGAUCUUCCUUCCAAUCUGUCUCGGCAAGACACGAGCUGAAGGAGAGAGUGCAGGCUGCCCUGGACACAGCCCUGGGAAACCUUAAUUCCUCAUCAUGUCCCAGCGCGGGAGUGCCUCAAUGCCAUCUUGAUUUAUGUUAACUCUGAAAAGAGAAAGCAGUUUCCUCUGGAGGAGUUUAGAAACUAAAGCGGAAAAUCCCAUGCCAACAAGCUAUUUCAACACUAUUCUUGUUAAAAAUUUCUAAAACAUGUCAAAAUGGUGGGGAGAAAAUGAAACCUAACUAUUGGGUGAACUUUCAGAAGCGGCUUUGGCUUUAUAAAUUAAGUUUCGAUUCCAAAGACAAAAGUGCAGAGGAGAACGAGAAGGCUGUAUUCCAUUGAUGAUGUCCCUGGUUCUCACCCAAAACAAAACGAAGGCAAAGCCUGAAGCAUGAAAAGAUUUUUUUCACUGCAAGCUUUUGGAAUUCCGAAGGAGGAGGAUAAAGAUAUAACUGGAGCUGUGAAUUUAAUGCAGAAGUAUGGCAUCUACUUGAAGAUAAAAGGAAAUUAAGUCUUACACAACACUAAAAUCAACUAGAUUUAAAUCAGUAAUAAUAUUUACACAACAUCCUUCCAGUUACCAAUAACCCUGCGUUGAUUCUAACCCGAUCCUGAAGAAGUAAGUUAAAAAAAAAAAAA